rnacentral:lncRNA from 1 species
AAAGCUCUUGAGUAUUUGGUCAUUAGGAGGAGGAAAAUUGAAGGUAAGUUCUUGGUACCUUGCUUCUAUUUUGAGGUUCAUGAGUUCUUUUUGAUUCUACCUUAACUCUUGAAGUAUAUUUUGAUUUUUAGUUGUGUUGUGAGCAUUUAGUCAUGAAUUAAAAUGAAGGAAAUGGUUGUUGUUUCAUGUUCCUUUGAUGAAAAAUGGAAGAUAGGUGAAGUUGAGCCAAACAAAUGAGCAUGCAUGUGCCUUAGAUGUUAAAGGGAAAAAUCAGCUAACAUGUUGUGCUUUAAAAUGAUGAAAUGGAGAUUAUACUUAAGUAAAAUCAUAGAUAUGUGAUGAUUGAUUGGUGAUAUACAUGUUUAAAUAACAUGCAUGCAAGGUAUGUGUGAAAGAGUGAUUUGGUAAUAAAUCUGCUUGGGACAGCAGCAGUAACAUGACUUUGGAAAAUCACCAUAAAUUGUGGGAGAUGAAUUAGAAGCUUAAUAAAUUAUGUAAUUAAAGAUUAUUGAGUCUAGUUUCUAAUGAAAUAAACAAGAACAUAUUUUGAAUUCUGUACAAUGAGAAAUUUGAUUCGUAAUGAAGAGUGGUCAGAUUAGUCAAACAGUGAAACAUGGAAAACUUUAAGAAAAAUCUGGUAUUGAUUGGCGAUACAAAAAAUUCUGAAAAUUUUAUGGAUAAAAGAUAUAUGAGUCUAUUUUUAGGGAAAAUUAACGGCACUUGAUUUGGAGUUUUGUAGCUCCAGUUAUAAAUAAUUUAGUGACUGUUGCUCAGGAAGACAGCUUGCAGUGAAAUUAUGAUUAUGUGGUAAACAUUGACAAAAAUUUGUUAAUGAGUUGCUUAUUGAUUUCUUAUAAGCUUACUAUGAUCUGUAGGUGUGGUUGGCCGAAUAUUGUAAGGGGUUAAUACGUAGUUUGUAUUUGAAUAGUUAGAUUAACGUGUUAGUAAUCCAAUUGUAGGCGGUUCGUGUGUGGAUCUCGUCAGCAUAUCGUCGCAAACAGGUGUAUAACUGACACCCUCUCAUAGACUAGAUUGGCAAAAGCCGAAAAACCAAAAUGCCGAAAAGUCAGUAUUUUGGGAAUUUGCGAGUGUGCGAAUGCUCGUAAGAUAGUUGGGUUUGUAUAUUUGGUAAUCUAAAGUAAUAAACUGCAGUACGCGCGAUUUCGUACAUUUUGAUAAUUUGGGCUUAAUGGGCCAAAGAUCGGGUUCAUGGGCCAACGAGCCCAAUUCAAUAAGUAUGUGCGGUAAGUGUUCUGAUAGUACGUAAAUAGUUAGGAUAUGCAUGAAAACCCUAAAAGUAGCUAAAUUACUAUAAUACCCCUAUGUAUGGAAAAUUACUGUUAUACCCCUAGGUGCAAAAUUACCGUUAUACCCCUAGGGUUAAUUUUGACUGAAAAGCAUGACGAUCUGAUUCUGUAUGAUGUAUGCCAUGAUUAUAUAUCUGUUGCAUGGGGACAUGGGUUAUAUUAUGGAGGAAGCGUUCUGGUGGCUAUGCCACAAAUAUCUGAUCUGGUGGCUCUGCCACAUAUAUCUGUUCUGGUGGCUCUGCCACGAUUAUCUGUAUCUGGUGACUCUGUCACAUUAUCUGUUCUAGCAGCCAUGCUGCAAAUUCUGUGGUGUGUAGCGGUUGGGUGGGUCGAGUUGUCUCCCCACACAGUUUAAGGUUGGUACGGGGGUGUAUACGGUUGGAUAUGGUUGGGUUUCUGCAUAAACAUGUAAUAUCUGUUCUGUUCUGUUAUGGGCCUAUGGGCUUUAUUUUGAAUUCUGUUCUGGGCUAAGGCCAACUUAUUCUAUUUCUAUGGUUUAAGCUGAUAUAGGCUAUGGUUGGGUUAAUUUACACACUGAGUUUCCCCAAACUCACCCCUUUUAUUUUCAUCCACGCAGGUAAUCCCCAACCAUAGUGGGCUUGGAGCUGUGAGGGAAUUCGGAGUGGCCACCUGUUCUGAAAGUUUGAUUUUCUUCUGGUGAACUGGACAUCCUUUUAUUUACGUUUGAAGUUUU